rnacentral:rRNA from 1 species
UACAGAGGGUGCGAGCGUUAAUCGGAUUUACUGGGCGUAAAGCGUGCGUAGGUGGUUUGAUAAGUCGGUUGUGAAAGCCCCGGGCUCAACCUGGGAAUUGCGGCCGAUACUGUCAGACUAGAAAACGGUAGAGGGAGGUGGAACUCCAGGUGUAGCGGUGAAAUGCGUAGAUAUCUGGAAGAACACCGAUGGCGAAGGCAGCCUACUGGGCCUGGUUUGCCACUGAGGCACGUAAGCGUGGCUAGCAAACAGG